UUUUAAUGAAACUAAAAUUAAAUAAGGCCUGCUCCAUGAAUUUAAUAGCCGCAGAAAAUUUACUGUGCUAAGGUAGCAUAAUCACUUGUCCCUUAAUUAGAGACUAGAAUGAAAGGCUAAACAAUUAAUUCAUUUUUUUAGAAAUUUAUAAUAAACCUAUAAUAAGUAUAAAAAUAUACUUAUAAAUAUAAAAGACGACAAGACCCUAUCGAACUUAACUUAAGUUAAGCUGGGGAAGCUACUUAAUAAUUAAUUUAUUCAUAUAAACUAUAUUAAAAUCCAAUAAACUUGAAUUAUAAUCAAGUUACCGUAGGGAUAACAGCGCAAUAUUUCUUAAAAGCACAUAUAAAAAGAAAAGUUUGCGACCUCGAUGUUGAAUUAUUUUUCUCUCAUUAGCGCAAGAGCUAAAACGAGUAGGUCUGUUCGACCUUAAAAAAAUUACA
rnacentral:rRNA from 1 species